rnacentral:tRNA from 1 species
UCCUCGUUAGUAUAGUGGUGAGUAUCCCCGCCUGUCACGCGGGAGACCGGGGUUCGAUUCCAUGACGGGGAG